rnacentral:rRNA from 1 species
AUACGGAGGGUGCAAGCGUUAAUCGGAAUUACUGGGCGUAAAGCGUACGUAGGCGGUUAUUUAAGUCAGAUGUGAAAGCCCCGGGCUUAACUUGGGAACUGCAUUUGAAACUGGGUAGCUAGAGUUUAGUAGAGGGGAGUGGAAUUUCAGGUGUAGCGGUGAAAUGCGUAGAGAUCUGAAGGAACACCAGUGGCGAAGGCGACUCCCUGGACUAAAUCUGACGCUGAGGUACGAAAGCGUGGGUAGCAAACAGGAUUAGAAACCCUAGUAGUCC